rnacentral:rRNA from 1 species
GACGUAGGGGGCCAGCGUUGUUCGGAAUUACUGGGUGUAAAGGGUUCGUAGGCGGUGCGGCAAGUUGGGAGUGAAAUCUCUGGGCUUAACCCAGAGGCUGCUUCCAAAACUGCUGUGCUUGAGUGUGGGAGAGGCGCGUGGAAUUCCUGGUGUAGCGGUGAAAUGCGCAGAUAUCAGGAAGAACACCCGUGGCGAAGGCGGCUCUCUGGGAUGGUACUGACGCUGAGACGCGAAAGCGUGGGGAGCGAACAGG